GAUCUGGCUCAGGAUGAACGCUAGCUACAGGCUUAACACAUGCAAGUCGAGGGGCAGCAUGGGACUGGCUUGCCAGUCCUGAUGGCGACCGGCGAAUGGGUGAGUAACGCGUAUCCAACCUGCCCCGUGCCCGGGAAUAGCCCUUGGAAACGAGGAUUAACGCCCGAUGGUGUGCGGCUUCCGCAUGGCGGCCGCACUAAAUGCGAAGGCGCGGGAUGGGAUGCGUUCCAUUAGGUUGUUGGCGGGUAACGGCCCACCAAGCCUUCGAUGGAUAGGGGUUCUGAGAGGAAGGUCCCCCACAUUGGAACUGAGACACGGUCCAAACUCCUACGGGAGGCAGCAGUGAGGAAUAUUGGUCAAUGGGCGGAAGCCUGAACCAGCCAAGUAGCCGUGAGGGAUGACGGCCCUACGGGUUGUAAACCUCUUUUAUGCGGGGAUAAAGUGCUCCACGUGUGGAGUUUUGCAGGUACCGCAUGAAUAAGGACCGGCUAAUUCCGUGCCAGCCGCAGC
rnacentral:rRNA from 1 species